AAAUUGAAGAGUUUGAUCAUGGCGCAGAUUGAACGCUGGCGGCAGGCCUAACACAUGCAAGUCGAGCGGAAACGAGUUAACUGGAACUUGGGAACGAUAACGGCGUCGAGCGGCGGACGGGUGAGUAAUGCCUAGGAAAUUGCCCUGAUGUGGGGGAUAACCACUUGGAAACGAUGGCUAAUACCGCAUAAUGCUACGGGCCAAAGAGGGGGACCUUCGGGCCUCUCGCGUCAGGAUAUGCCUAGGUGGGAUUAGCUAGUUGGUGAGGUAAGGGCUCACCAAGGCGACGAUCCCUAGCUGGUCUGAGAGGAUGAUCAGCCACACUGGAACUGAGACACGGUCCAGACUCCUAGAGGAGGCAGCAGUGGGGAAUAUUGCACAAUGGGCGCAAGCCUGAUGCAGCCAUGCCGCGUGUGUGAAGAAGGCCUUCGGGUUGUAAAGCACUUUCAGUCGUGAGGAAGGUAGUGUAGUUAAUAGCUGCAUUAUUUGACGUUAGCGACAGAAGAAGCACCGGCUAACUCCGUGCCAGCAGCCGCGGUAAUACGGAGGGUGCGAGCGUUAAUCGGAAUUACUGGGCGUAAAGCGCAUGCAGGUGGUCUGUUUAGUCAGAUGUGAUAGCCCGGGGCUCAACCUCGGAAUAGCAUUUGAUACUGGCAGACUAGAGUACUGUAGAGGGGGGUAGAAUUUCAGGUGUAGCGGUGAAAUGCGUAGAGAUCUGAAGGAAUACCGGUGGCGAAGGCGGCCCCCUGGACAGAUACUGACACUCAGAUGCGAAAGCGUGGGGAGCAAACAGGAUUAGAUACCCUGGUAGUCCACGCCGUAAACGAUGUCUACUUGGAGGUUGUGGCCUUGAGCCGUGGCUUUCGGAGCUAACGCGUUAAGUAGACCGCCUGGGGAGUACGGUCGCAAGAUUAAAACUCAAAUGAAUUGACGGGGGCCCGCACAAGCGGUGGAGCAUGUGGUUUAAUUCGAUGCAACGCGAAGAACCUUACCUACUCUUGACAUCCAGAGAACUUUCCAGAGAUGGAUUGGUGCCUUCGGGAACUCUGAGACAGGUGCUGCAUGGCUGUCGUCAGCUCGUGUUGUGAAAUGUUGGGUUAAGUCCCGCAACGAGCGCAACCCUUAUCCUUGUUUGCCAGCGAGUAAUGUCGGGAACUCCAGGGAGACUGCCGGUGAUAAACCGGAGGAAGGUGGGGACGACGUCAAGUCAUCAUGGCCCUUACGAGUAGGGCUACACACGUGCUACAAUGGCGCAUACAGAGCGCUGCCGACUUGUGAAACCGCCCUAAUCCCUAAAAAUGUGUCCUAGUGUUGGGGUAUCUGAGCUAUAUAGGGACACAAUAUCU
rnacentral:rRNA from 1 species